GAUGAACGCUGGCGGCGUGCCUAAUACAUGCAAGUCGAGCGAACGGACGAGAAGCUUGCUUCUCUGAUGUUAGCGGCGGACGGGUGAGUAACACGUGGAUAACCUACCUAUAAGACUGGGAUAACUUCGGGAAACCGGAGCUAAUACCGGAUAAUAUUUUGAACCGCAUGGUUCAAAAGUGAAAGACGGUCUUGCUGUCACUUAUAGAUGGAUCCGCGCUGCAUUAGCUAGUUGGUAAGGUAACGGCUUACCAAGGCAACGAUGCAUAGCCGACCUGAGAGGGUGAUCGGCCACACUGGAACUGAGACACGGUCCAGACUCCUACGGGAGGCAGCAGUAGGGAAUCUUCCGCAAUGGGCGAAAGCCUGACGGAGCAACGCCGCGUGAGUGAUGAAGGUCUUCGGAUCGUAAAACUCUGUUAUUAGGGAAGAACAUAUGUGUAAGUAACUGUGCACAUCUUGACGGUACCUAAUCAGAAAGCCACGGCUAACUACGUGCCAGCAGCCGCGGUAAUACGUAGGUGGCAAGCGUUAUCCGGAAUUAUUGGGCGUAAAGCGCGCGUAGGCGGUUUUUUAAGUCUGAUGUGAAAGCCCACGGCACAACCGUGGAGGGUCAUUGGAAACUGGAAAACUUGAGUGCAGAAGAGGAAAGUGGAAUUCCAUGUGUAGCGGUGAAAUGCGCAGAGAUAUGGAGGAACACCAGUGGCGAAGGCGACUUUCUGGUCUGUAACUGACGCUGAUGUGCGAAAGCGUGGGGAUCAAACAGGAUUAGAUACCCUGGUAGUCCACGCCGUAAACGAUGAGUGCUAAGUGUUAGGGGGUUUCCGCCCCUUAGUGCUGCAGCUAACGCAUUAAGCACUCCGCCUGGGGAGUACGACCGCAAGGUUGAAACUCAAAGGAAUUGACGGGGACCCGCACAAGCGGUGGAGCAUGUGGUUUAAUUCGAAGCAACGCGAAGAACCUUACCAAAUCUUGACAUCCUUUGACAACUCUAGAGAUAGAGCUUUCCCCUUCGGGGGACAAAGUGACAGGUGGUGCAUGGUUGUCGUCAGCUCGUGUCGUGAGAUGUUGGGUUAAGUCCCGCAACGAGCGCAACCCUUAAGCUUAGUUGCCAUCAUUAAGUUGGGCACUCUAAGUUGACUGCCGGUGACAAACCGGAGGAAGGUGGGGAUGACGUCAAAUCAUCAUGCCCCUUAUGAUUUGGGCUACACACGUGCUACAAUGGACAAUACAAAGGGCAGCGAAACCGCGAGGUCAAGCAAAUCCCAUAAAGUUGUUCUCAGUUCGGAUUGUAGUCUGCAACUCGACUACAUGAAGCUGGAAUCGCUAGUAAUCGUAGAUCAGCAUGCUACGGUGAAUACGUUCCCGGGUCU
rnacentral:rRNA from 1 species